AUAAAUGUUCUCGCAUUUCUGGACAAUUAUCGGUUUGAGCGGUACCGUUUCAUAAUCGUUUCAAGUCCAUAAUCUACAUAAACAACCUAAUCCGUCCUUACAUUUACAUUACCAACCAGUCAUGCUCUCACAUCCAGCAGAUAUUGUGUGUUGCGCUGCGGUUCUUUGCAAAUGGAAGUUUUUAUAUAAUGUCAGAGAUGCAGAGUAAGACAACUGUAUGGAGGACAGUCAGAAAAGUGUUCCUGGCUCUGAAACGACUUUUACUCAUCAUUGUGGUUUUCCUGGACAUAAACCUGUCAGAGCAUCAAGGAGGAUCCACAGGAUUACAGGAUUUCCCAGUGUGAUUGGCUGCAUAGAUGCACACACAUCCCCAUCACAGCUCCCUCACAUCAUGAACAGGAAGUCCAUUCACAGCAUAAAUGUGCAGGUAGGCUACAGGUAGACUGACUACUGUUUCUAAAUGUUAAAGACUGCAUCAUAGUUCAACAUCUGUCAUUCUCUGCACUGUCCAGAUCAUAUGUGAUGCUGCAUACAUCAUUUCUAAUGUGGAGGCCACGUGGUCUGGGUCUGUUCAUGACUCCAGGAUUUAUGGAGAGUCUAACCUGAGCAACAGACUGCAGCGUGGAGAGUUUGAUGGCCUUCUGCUGGGUGACAGGGGUUACCAUGACAACCCAGGCCGAUGACCUCAUACCCUGACCCUGAACCAGGCCCCCAACAGAACUUCAACCGGACUCACUGCAGGACCAGAGCCCGGGUGGAGAUGACCAUAGGCCUGCUGAAAGCCCGUUUCCAGAGCCUACGUCUCCUCAGGGUGACCCCUGAGAGGGCCUGUGAUAUUACUGUGACAUGUGUUGUUCUUCAUAAUAUUACCACUAUUAGAGGAGAGCAACACCCUGCCCUACAAACUGAAGACCCAGAUGAUGAGCCCAUCCACCUGCAGCUAUCCAGGACAGCAGAGCAGUCAGAGACACCGUAUGCAAUAAUCACGUUAGAGUUUAAGUCUCCAUCAUCACCACCACAGCAAAUAAAGACAUGAUACACAUUUCA